UCUCCUGUGCAUGUAGCUCAGUGCAUGGUUAGAGCGUCCGACCGGUGUUCAGAAGGUCAUAGGUUCGACUCCUGUUGGGAGAA